rnacentral:snRNA from 1 species
GUGUGGCAGCACAUACACUAAAAUUGGAAUGAUACAGAGAAGAGUAGCGUGGUCCCUGCACAAGGAUGACACGCAAAUUCGUGAAGUGUUCCAUAUUUUU